UACAGAGGGGGCGAGCGUUGUUCGGAAUUACUGGGCGUAAAGGGCGCGUAGGCGGCCUCUUAAGUCGAACGUGAAAUCCCCGGGCUCAACCCGGGAACUGCGUCCGAUACUGGGGGGCUUGAAUCCGGGAGAGGGAUGUGGAAUUCCCGGUGUAGCGGUGAAAUGCGUAGAUAUUGGGAGGAACACCAGUGGCGAAGGCGGCUCACUGGACCGGUACUGACGCUGAGGCGCGAAAAGCGUGGGGAGCAAACAGGG
rnacentral:rRNA from 1 species